GUCUAAAAGGAUGAUCCCCCACACUGGUACUGAGACACGGACCAGACUCCUACGGGAGGCAGCAGUGAGGAAUAUUGGUCAAUGGGCGAGAGCCUGAACCAGCCAUCCCGCGUGCAGGAAGACGGCCCUAUGGGUUGUAAACUGCUUUUUUAUGGGAAGAAAAAGCUCUACGUGUAGGGCACUGACGGUACCAUAUGAAUAAGCAUCGGCUAACUCCGUGCCAGCAGCCGCGGUAAUACGGAGGAUGCGAGCGUUAUCCGGAUUUAUUAGGUUUAAAGGGUGUGUAGGCGGGUUAUUAAGUCAGUGGUGAAAUCUCAGAGCUUAACUCUGAAACUGCCAUUGAUACUGGUAAUCUUGAGUACAGUUGAAGUAGGCGGAAUGUGUAAUGUAGCGGUGAAAUGCUUAGAUAUUACACAGAACACCGAUUGCGAAGGCAGCUUACUAAGCUGUUACUGACGCUGAUGCACGAAAGCGUGGGGAGCGAACAGGAUUAGAUACCCUGGUAGUCCACGCUGUAAACGGUGAUUACUCGUUGUUGGCGAUAUAUUGUCAGCGACUGAGCGAAAGCAAUAAGUAAUCCACCUGGGGAGUACGGUCGCAAGACUG
rnacentral:rRNA from 1 species